CAAGAACAGGUGUGCUAGCGGGCAUUUUGAACUGAUAUUUCGUUUCAGCUAGCAAGAAAACCAAGUUGGAAUAACUGCUCUCUGCCACCUCAUGAAGCCGUUACCUCAACAUGGAGUUGAUUCUUGGACUAAAUUGAGCAGAAAACCUGAAGAAGUGCUGCUGUUUGGUCUGGUUUGUUUUUGCUGCUUGUUGGAUGGAGGUCCAGUUAGCUGAAGAUACAUGAGAUAUCACUAAACACAGAGGCACCACAGCGGGGCAGCAGGAGGACACAGGAUCCAGGGGAGGAGGGUCUUUGAGUUCAGAUGUUAUCCAGCCUGGUCUUUCUGGACUUCUACAGAUUCUUGAUUGGAUUCAGGUGCCACUUACUUUGACAAGGCUCCCCAGCUAAAAAGCAUUAUUACCACCACUAUAUUUGACUGUAGGAUGGUGUUCUUGAGGUGGCCUAUGUCUCCUGUUUUUCUCCAAAUUAAAGCCAC
ensembl:lncRNA